AUAUUUAUAUUAUAUAUAGGUGACAUUUUAUUACAUAUUUCAUAAAUACAAAAAAAAAAGGAAUAAAUGUCCCAGCCAGGCCUUGGUGAACAUAAUCUUAAAUUACAUAAACUACAGUUAAUUCAACAGAACGAUAACAAUAUGCCUUUUCGUGAUAGUUUUGUCAAAUAAAUUCACACAUCUCGCUUUACAAAUUCACACGAUGACAGUAACAUCAAUCUCUUUCUGAGGAAAUGCAAACAUGACAAUACUGUGCACGAUAAUUAAGAGAUAAAUGUGAUGCAAGCAUGGAAAAUAGAUUCAAAAACAAUAAACCAAACACAUAACCAGGGCUCUGUAAAGACCAGAUGAUUCUCCCGAACUAGUCGACUGUCUUGCUUUUUUUGGAUUUGCAUUGACUGAAUAACUUCAUUUGAGGGUUGAAGUGAUACAUAUGGUAGAUAUUUCUGAAAACAUAGUAGUAGUGGGGGAAGAGGUGAAAGCAUUCCCUUUCUGGUAAACAUUAAAAUGUAAGACGAGAUAAUUCAAUUAGUUGUCAUGGACGACUAAAACUAACAGCAAAUACAGAACAGGAAAAAAACAAACACCAAGGCAAAGAAAAUUCUGGAUCAUGUUUAGUUGGUGGACUUCAAUUAUUCUUCCUCCACAGUUAAGGCUGUCGACACUUAAGACUUCAAGAGCAUCUGAUCCUUGUGACAAUCUGAAUGUACUGACGGGGAAUUGUAAUUUUUUAGGGAUAUAGCGUCAUCUUUGAACAAUAAACAUGUUGUUUUUAUUGUUACCAGAAGUAUUUCUAAUUGUAUUUGUCUUUUAUUCGUAAGAGGGGCCUAGAGGUAGAUCUGACUAAACCUUAUAUUGUAUCGCCAAUGUUAAAUAAUGUUCAAGUGAUCAUAACAUGCUAUAUAUAAAACUAGAACAGGAAAUAAGCAAGCAGAACAUGUUUUUAAUGAACUAUUACAAAUCGGAUGUGGUAACUGGGACGUUUGUUCAGGUGGAAAAGCACAGGAUAAAUAUUAGCACAGUCGGCGAUUGACGAGUGACACACGACCACCUUUGACAUUCAUAAGAUUGUCCCGAGUGCAUUUUAUAAUGAAGAACAAGAACCAGACGUUGAGAUUGUGGCUUUCAUCCUUGUUUGAGAAUAAAUAUUUCAGCGGUCUGUCGAUGAGGGAUGAUGUUUAAGAAGGCAUUGCGUGCACACAUUCAUUACGCCGCUGCAUGUCACUCAUGCACCAGUUUUUAAUCGUCCGUUUAAAACCUGCCGUGUGGAUCAUGAAUGCCGUUUCUGCAGGAGCGCAGACGGUCGGUAGUGUUCAGAUGACUGCAGUCUGGUUUGGCUUCGAAAGCAGGAUAUUCUCAGGAUGGUGACGGGUGGGCGAGACGAGGGACA